rnacentral:lncRNA from 1 species
UUUUGAGUCACUUUUCUCCAAUUUUAGGCGAUUUUCCCCAAUUUUAGGCGAUUUUCCCCAAUUUUGAGUCACUUUUCCCCAAUUUUAAAUUAUUUUCCCCAAUUUUGAGUCACUUUUCUCCAAUUUUAGAUGAUUUUCCCCAAUUUUGGGUCACCCAGUCCCGGUGUUUGUCAGAUUUCGGGUGUUUUUGUCCAAUUUUGGGUGUUUUUGUCCCAGAUUUUGGGUGUUUCAGUCGAAUUUUGGGUGUUUCAGUCCAAUUUUGGGUGUUUUUGUCCAAUUUUGGUUGUUUUUGUCCCAGAUUUCGGUUGUUUCAGUCCGAUUUUGGGUGUUUUUGUCCCAGAUUUUGGCUGUUUUUGUCCAAUUUCGGGUGUUUCAGUCCAAUUUGGGGUGUUUCAGUCCGAUUUUGGGUGUUUUUGUCCCAGAUUUCAGUUGUUUCAGUCGGAUUUGGGGUGUUUCAGUCGGAUUUCGGGUGUUUUUUGUCCAAUUUCGGGUGUUUUUGUCCCAGAUUCAGCCACAGCAGCGCCAGGUUAACCCCGUAGGUGCUGACACAAACCACGCACAGCUCCUGACCCCAAACCCCGGGGUUUCAGUCGGAUUUGGGGUGUUUCAGUCAGAUUUCGGCUGUUUUUGUCCAAUUUCGGGUGUUUCAGUCGGAUUUGGGCUGUUUUUGUCCCAGAUUACGGUUGUUUCAGUCGGAUUUGGGGUGUUUUUGGGUGAGAUUCAGCCCCAGCAGCGCCAGGUUAACCCCGUAGGUGCUGACACAAACCACGCACA